UGGUCUGUUGGAUGAAUAGAGCGGCACCGUCAGCCUGGGCUUUCAUCACUCUGCCCAAACAGCCUACAGCCUCGCGUCUCUGCUGCAUCGGGAGCUGCAGCUGGCUAUGUGACAGCACAGUGCUGCUUCAGGACUGGACCUCGUAGAUUCUUGUUUGUCCUCUAGAACUGCGGGAUUUCUGUCACUUCAAUCUGAUUAAUUUCACAGGGAAAUCGCGAUGACCAGCGCACCGACUUUUUUGUAAAAUAAAAGCGGACUUGCCAACAAACUGACCGAUAGGUUUGUCUUUUAAGACACUUGGUCAUAUUCUAGCUCACUUCCCAAUACAGGUGACACCCAUAGAGGCGCUCGGAGUUGUGUAGUGACCGUUUGACUAGUUUGUGUGCAGUGAAUGUGUUCCUGCUCUGGCGGUAUCCCAGGCUUCCUGUCCAAACUAGCCUCCCAGUGCGUCUCCAUUGUUUGGCAGAAGUUGCUGAUUGCAGCAGAUCUUUGUUUGACUUGCGAGAAAAAAAAAUAAUCAGGCAUGAAGGAAGCGGCCGGAGUAACUUCAACUGCGUCACAUACUAAGAGCAUGAAAGAAAUCCGCGUAUACAGACCAGUCAGUCUGGCAAUCUCAUGUUCAACUACAUCAACAAUCUUUCAUUUCAAUUUAUUGAAUCAAGACUAAAGCUUCCUCAGCGCACGGAUUCCCAGCGGCAGUGACCUACUUCUGUGCCAAAAUGACCGAAAAUUAUAACCAACUAGUUUCAAGCACCAAGUCUCAAUGUACCGACAAACACUUUUACGCACCUUUGAUGUAACUGAUCCGAGCGCUGAGAGGAGCGAUAUUGAGCGUCUCAGGCGGCACGGAGAGAAAUGGCACCAAAACGUGCCGGCUGCCGCCUCGCCGAGAGAGAGGGAAAAGCAGAUGGAGGAAAGGAACUCCGCCAAAAAAUACCAAACAAGGCUUUCGGUCAGGUGUCACGGCACUUAACGUUUAACGAGAUUCGUCCAGCAGCACGUCUGCACCGUCACUGUAUAAAGAUUGAGAGGUAGGUUGUAGUUUCUGUCUCCGUGGGCGAUGACAGAAAAGUCAAGUCUCACCAGAACAAUAAUAAAAAAAUUAAAAAAAAACCCAGACUGACAUUUUGGCAUUUCAGAUCAAACGAUAAGGUUUCAUGUUACUAUUCAGACAAAGAUAUUAAAAUAAUUCUGCCGCUGUCACGUGGAUGUGUGCUCCUACAGCAUGAUGCUCCCUACAUUUGUAUCGUUCAUCUUCAAAAGCCCAGCGGUGCAUGUGCGCCUCCAGCAGGACGGAGCGCACACUCAACUCGUCACAGAGAAGUGCCGAAUUUGGGCUAUACAUUACAUUCCGGUAAUUGCCCGUCAACACAAGUAUUAAAACCAGGAAAGCGACCUGUGCACUUGCCUGAAUGGGAGUGAAAAAUCUAACCCGUAUCCUGAAAUACAGAGGUUAAUCAUGGGGCGGCUGAACUCAGUGAACUCUAUCAUAACAAGGCAAACACUUUCUGAUACAGGGAGAGAAAUCGGCUGAACUGCUGAGAAGGAAAACAUCACAUCAUCGUGUAAGUCUUGCCGUUGCUGAGAAAGGUGUAUGACGCAUAAUGCCUGAUAAAAAAAAAAAAAACUAAAAAAAACAACCCUGCACACUAUACAAAUAAAGUAAAUAAAAUGCAAUUUAUUCUCUGCACCCCUGGUGACAAAGCGACCUGCAUCGGCAUGUGUCAUCUAGACCCACGCAGCUUUUAUCCCGGGUAAAAUACGCUCGACUAAUGGGUUAUGGGGUUCAUAAAAGGAACUAAAGCUGGGGCCAUGCACUGCCAAACAUACCGGCACAGUCAGAUGAACACUGUAAAAACGCUCUAACAUGCGCCAAAAUCUCUCCUGAUAUAAUAGAAGAAAGCUGCAUACAGUAGGAAACGGCUGCAUUAAACUCUGACUCGAGUAUUAGAGGUGUGUGGGAGAAAAGGAAAACGCCGUAGUCAAUUAAAUUCAGUUUGAGCCACCUUUUACGCAUGACAGACAUCUUUCAGUAAGAGCACAGUGACAUUUCCCGGUAAGAAAAGGCGUUACAGUGCAAGAGCAAAUUCGUUACUUAUUUCGUGUAUUUUAAAAACAAUGCAAUUAAACAUUAAGGAAGAAUGAGUCCGACUGCUUGCAGUGUGACAGCUGACAUGCCGGUAAGCUCUUGGAAAAGCAAAAAACAAAACACAAAAAACAAACAAACAAA